GACGAACGCUGGCGGCGUGCUUAACACAUGCAAGUCGAACGGAAAGGCCCUGCUUUUGUGGGGUGCUCGAGUGGCGAACGGGUGAGUAACACGUGAGUAACCUGCCCUUGACUUUGUGAUAACUUCAGGAAACUGGGGCUAAUACCGGAUAGGAGCUCCUGCUGCAUGGUGGUGGUUGGAAAGUUUCGGCGGUUGGGUAUGGACUGGCGGCUUAUCGGCUGGUUGGUGGGGUAGUGGCUUACCAAGGCUUUGACGGGUAGCCGGCAUGAGAGGGUGACCGGCGACAUUGGGACUGAGGGAGGGACCAGAAGGCUACGGGAGGCAGCAGUGGAGAACAUGACACAAUGGGCGGAAGCCUGAGGCAGAAACGCCGCGAGCGGGAUGACGGCUUUCGGGUGGUAAACAGAUUUCGAAGGUGAUGAAGCGUGAGUGACGGUAAUGGGUAAAGAAGCACCGGCUAACUACGUG
rnacentral:rRNA from 1 species